rnacentral:rRNA from 1 species
UACAGAGGGUGCGAGCGUUGUCCGGAAUCACUGGGCGUAAAGGGCGCGUAGGCGGCCUGAUAAGUAGGGGGUGAAAUCCUGUGGCUUAACUGCAGGGCUGCCUCCUAGACUGUUAGGCUCGAGCACGGUAGAGGCAGAUGGAAUUCCCGGUGUAGCGGUGAAAUGCGCAGAUAUCAGGAAGAACACCAAUGGCGAAAGCAGCUUUCUGGGACGGUACUGACGCUGAGACGCGAAAGCGUGGGGAGCGAACAGG